rnacentral:rRNA from 1 species
CCUANGGGUGGCAGCAGUAGGGAAUAUUAGUUAAUGUGCGAAAGCGCGAACUAGCAACGCCGCGUGCACGAUGAAGGCCUUCGGGUCGUAAAGUGCUUUUUGAAGGGAUGAGAAAGGACAGUACCUUCAGAAUAAGUCUCGGCUAACUACGUGCCAGCAGCCGCGGUAAAACGUAGGAGGCGAGCGUUAUCCGGAUUUACUGGGUGUAAAGCGCGUGCAGGCGGUUUGGUAAGUUGGAUGUGAAAGCUCCUGGCUUAACUGGGAGAGGUCGUUCAAAACUACCAGACUUGAGGGCGGUAGAGGGAGGUGGAAUUCCGUGUGUAGUGGUGAAAUGCGUAGAUAUACGGAGGAACACCAGUGGCGAAAGCGGCCUCCUAGACCGAUCCUGACGCUCAGACGCGAAAGCUAGGGUAGCAAACGGGAUUAGAUACCCCANUANUC